rnacentral:rRNA from 1 species
UAUUGAUCGUCUCUCGCAUAUCAAUAAGCGGAGGAAAAGAAACUAACAAGGAUUCCCCUAGUAACGGCGAGUGAAGCGGGAAGAGCUCAAAUUUGAAAUCUUAAAGGGUUUCCCUUUACGAAUUGUAGUUUAAAGAAGUGUUUUCUGUUGAGGUUUUGGUAAAAGUUAUUUGGAAUAGGACAUCAUAGAGGGUGAGAAUCCCGUAUUUGACCUUUACUUUCAACUUUGUGAUACACUUUCAAAGAGUCGGAUUGUUUGGGAAUGCAGUCCAAAAUGGGUGGUAAAUUUCAUCUAAAGCUAAAUAUUGGCGAGAGACCGAUAGCGAACAAGUACCGUGAGGGAAAGAUGAAAAGAACUUUGAAAAGAGAGUUAAACAGUACGUGAAAUUGUCAAAAGGGAAGCGUUUGGACACCAGUGUUGUUUUUCUGAAAAUCAAUUAAAGAACUGUUUAUGCUAAGCUGUUUAGACUUUAUCAGCUAACUGUUUAGUUUUGAGCUUUUCUUUAAUGCACUUUUCAGUUAACAAGUCAACAUCAAUUUCUUUUGCUGUAAAAAAGCUUGAGGAAGGUGGCUUGAGAUUCGUCUUAAGUGUUUAUAGCCUCUUGCCUAUGCAGUCGGAGAGAUUGAGGUCUGCAGCGUAGAUCCUUCGGGGCUAAAUGCAUUUGUGCUAAGUUAUAGCAUUUUAUAGACAACUUGUUGACUAUGAUUUGUCUUGCAGCUUACUCGCUUAUGUUAUUUUACCUACGCUUAGGAUGUUGAGUAGCGACAUACGCAC